GGUGCUGUGGUUUAGUGGUAUAAUUCUUGCUUAGGGUGUAAGAGGUCCCCGGUUCAAUCCCGGGCAGCGCCC
rnacentral:tRNA from 1 species